rnacentral:rRNA from 1 species
UCCAUGAAGCUGGAUUCGCUAGUAAUCGCGCAUCAGCCACGGCGCGGUGAAUACGUUCCCGGGCCUUGUACACACCGCCCGUCAAGCCAUGGAAGCCGGGGGUGCCUGAAGUGCGCUGCCGCAAGGAGCGUCCUAGGGUAAAACCGGUGACUGGGGCUAAGUCGUAACAAGGUACC